CUUAUCCGACUACCAGCAGAUAUCCCAGGAGCUGAGGAGCAUUGUGUGAAAAGACCACCCCCUCUGAGAGAGGACGACCCUCAGAGAGUGGGAGGGGCUAUCCCUGCUACCACCACUACCCCAUAACUGAUCAGCUACAAAGAUCUGAAGGUGUCACGUGACUUGUCGAACUUUUUAGAGUCAGCCUGGAUGAACCCAAGCAUCUCGCGAUCAGAUGGAGGCAGGUUCAAGAGGAUCUCCGUGUACAGAGACCCUGCUGGAGGGUACGGAUUUGCAUCACUAUUCGAAUUUGACUCUAUGCUCAGUUUAGUUCUGUACUAUGCCACCAACACUGGAGAAACACAACCCUGAACUAGAGACAAUGCUUAGAUACCCUGCAUUCCAUGUGGACAGGGGCCGUUAGUAACUGAACUAGCAGCUGUACAGUAUUGUAUGUGUAUAUAAUAAUGUGUAAAAUAGGAGUCUCUUUCUGUGUAUUAUAAUUAUAAUAAUAUUAUACGUAAUAUGGCAUAUUCUAAAUACCUACAUUGUCAUACAUAUUAUCUUGCCAACACUAAAAUUUGUGCUUAUUAAGUUCACGUAUUAAUGUGUAUAGGCACUCAUUUUUUGCUGAUUCGCCCUUUCAUCUGUGGAGUUCCUUGUUUGUAUGUGUUGUUGUGGUUAGCUUUUAGUUUUUGCUUGUU